rnacentral:rRNA from 1 species
CCUAGGGGAGACAGCAGUGAGGAAUAUUGGUCAAUGGUCGGGAGACUGAACCAGCCAAGCCGCGUGAGGGAUGAAGGUACAGAGUAGCGUAAACCUCUUUUGUCAGGGAACAAAGGCGGGGACGUGUCCCCGGAUGAGUGUACCUGAAGAAAAAGCAUCGGCUAACGCCGUGCCAGCAGCCGCGGUAAUACGGAGGAGGCGAGCGUUAUCCGGAUUUAUUGGGUGCAAAGGGUGCGCAGGCGGUCUGUGAAGGCAGCGGUCAAAGCCCGGGGCUCCACCCCGGCCCGCCGUUGAAACUGGCAGUCUCGAGUUGGCGUGCAGUAUGCGGUCUGCGCGUUGUAGCGG